CUCCAGCACCCUUUCCCUCCCUCCCCCAGCAUUCAUGGCUGCUUGAGUCAUUUAUACCCCAGGGCCCUGGUUUCUGUGGGCGAUGCUGUAACAUCCUGCCCCAUCUCUGCCAAGGAGCGCAUGAGCUACCCCGGCAGGUAGGGCUCCCUGCAUUUUAAGAGGAACCUUCAGGAGACAAGGCCUUAAGUCAUACGGCGGUUGCCCAAUGAAGGGGAAAUUGAGGCCUGGAGGAGGAAAGUAACCUGCCCAAGGUGAGAGGGCAGAAGAUAGCUUGCAUUCAACUCCCCUGACACCACAAUUCCACGCCAUCGCUCUCUCUCCAGCAGCUGCCUGUGCACAUCAUGUUCACCCGCUGACCUUCCCGUGAGAAGUGGGUCCCUUCUCCAUGGGGAAGAGUUGACAUGAUAAAGUCAACUGAGGGAUGAGAUGAAGCUGCAGAUGAUAAUGUCACUGAAACCAGAGGAUUUUGAACCUUUGGCAUUAACUUGAGAUUUCUCUUUCGGCAUCUCUCCAGCCCAGAGACCCUUCCAGUCUCCACGUCUCCCUCUACCCCCG
rnacentral:lncRNA from 1 species